rnacentral:rRNA from 1 species
GAUGAACGCUGGCGGCGUGCUUAACACAUGCAAGUCGAACGGAAAGGCUCCUGCUUGCCGGGGUUCUCGAGUGGCGAACGGGUGAGUAAAACGUGGGUGAACUGUCCUGUACUCUGGGAUAAGAUUGGGAAACUGGGUCUAUUAUCGGAUAAUAACUGCUUUUCGUGAGGUGGCUGGAGAGAUUUGUCGGUGUAAGAUGAGCUCGCGGCCUAUCAGCUCGUUGGUGGGGUAAUGGCAUACCAAGGCGUCGCCGGGUAGCCGGCCUGUGAGGGUGAACGGCCACAUUGGGACUGAGGUACGGCCCAGACUCCUACGCGAGGCAGCAGGGGGGAAGAUUGCACAAUGGGCGGAAGCCUGAUGCAGCGGCGCCGCGUGGGGUAUGACGGCCUUCUGGUUGUAAACUCCUUUCGUCAGGGACGAAGCUUUUUGUGACGGUACCUGUAUAGGAAGCCCCGGCUAACUACGUG